rnacentral:rRNA from 1 species
GAUGAACGCUGGCGGCGUGCCUAAUACAUGCAAGUCGAGCGAACAGACGAGGAGCUUGCUCCUCUGACGUUAGCGGCGGACGGGUGAGUAACACGUGGAUAACCUACCUAUAAGACUGGGAUAACUUCGGGAAACCGGAGCUAAUACCGGAUAAUAUAUUGAACCGCAUAGUUCAAUAGUGAAAGACGGUUUUGCUGUCACUUAUAGAUGGAUCCGCGCCGCAUUAGCUAGUUGGUAAGGUAACGGCUUACCAAGGCAACGAUGCGUAGCCGACCUGAGAGGGUGAUAGGCCACACUGGAACUGAGACACGGUCCAGACUCCUACGGGAGGCAGCAGUAGGGAAUCUUCCGCAAUGGGCGAAAGCCUGACGGAGCAACGCCGCGUGAGUGAUGAAGGUCUUCGGAUCGUAAAACUCUGUUAUUAGGGAAGAACAAAUGUGUAAGUAACUAUGCACGUCUUGACGGUACCUAAUCAGAAAGCCACGGCUAACUACGUG